GAACUCAGCACAACCAUAUUUCUGCUUACACAAAUGGUUAUACAAUGAUAAUAAUAAUUUCCUUACAGUAACGUAGGGGAGAGUGGGGUGAUUGGUGCCAGUGGGGAAGUUGUGCCACCCCCUAUUUCUAGGAAACUAUAGAAAAAAUUGGCCAUGUGACCACACAUUUUUGAAGACUCAGCCAUUUCAAUCAUCCUGCAGAGAAGAGAGCCUCAUUGCAUGAGAGGUAAGCACAUUUAAGUUAAAAGAACUGUUUUUUGCCUUUCAAAGUAAAAUUUCUAUGAUCAUGUUUUUUUGAUUGUUGUGUCAAAACAGUUAUAGACAAGUUUGAAACAUUUCACACAUGUUUUAGUGCUUUGGUAAGCUACAUUAUGAGUCUACAGCAUGAUGUUAGCUCAAAUCUGAUGGAUGAUGCAUUUUUUCCAAAAUGGUGGGGUUGGGGUGAUUUGUGCCCAAGGGCCUGGGUUAAGUUGUGCCAGUGGCACAACUCACCCCCACUUAUAAAUAAUGUUUUAAACAUAUUAUUUUAUUGUAAUUGUGCAUUUUAUUCUUACAUUUUAUCACUAAAACUAUGUGACAUUCUUAAUUUUAGACCAAAAAUAGAAGUAUACCAUCAUGCCACAGAGUUAUAAGAGGAAGACAGGCAGGGCAUACUGUACGGAGAAGGAGCUGGAAGAACAUAUAAAGGCACUAGGAGUAAUGUUUCAUGGUCUAAGUCCCAUGAAAUGCUGUGAACUUCACACACACACACACUGACCAGGAAGCCUGGGAAGGAGAGGGGGAACAUCAUCUCUAGGUAUGACUUCCCUCCACACAAGAUCUACAACAUGGAUGAAACUAGUGUGACAAUGGAAAAUUACCUUUAAUUGAUGUGCUCGUGUGGCACAAUAGGCUUGUAGAAAAUUGGCCUUUGAUGUUGUAAAAUAACUUUAAAUAAACCUUAAAUGAGUAA